GUCCAGCAGCCGCGGUAAUACCGGCAGCUCAAGUGAUGGCCACUCUUAUUGGGCCUAAAGCGUCCGUAGCUGGCCGCGCAAGUCCGUCGGGAAAUCCAUCAGCCCAACUGAUGGGCGUCCGGCGGAAACUGCACGGCUUGGGACCGGAAGGCUCGAGAAGUACGUCCGGGGUAGGAGUGAAAUCCCGUAAUCCCGAACGACCACCGAUGGCGAAAGCACUUCGAGAAAACGGAUUCGACAGUGAGGGACGAAAGCCAGGGUCUCCAACCGGAUUAGAAACCCGGGUAGUCC
rnacentral:rRNA from 1 species